rnacentral:rRNA from 1 species
CCUACGGGUGGCAGCAGUGGGGAAUAUUGGUCAAUGGGCGCAAGCCUGACCCAGCAACGCCGCGUGAAGGAAGAAGGCUUUCGGGUUGUAAACUUCUUUUCUCAGGGACGAAGCAAGUGACGGUACCUGAGGAAUAAGACACGGCUAACUACGUGCCCGCAGCCUCGGUAAUACGGAGGUGGCAAGCGUUAUCCGGAUUUACUGGGUGUAAAGGGGGUGUAGGCGGGGACGCAAGUCAGAUGUGAAAACCAUGGGCUCAACCUGUGGCUUGCAUUUGAAACUGUGGUUCUUGAGUACUGGAGAGGCAGACGGAAUUCCUAGUGUAGCGGUGAAAUGCGUAGAUAUUAGGAGGAACACCAGUUGCGAAGGCGGUCUGCUGGACAGCAACUGACGCUGAGGCGCGAAAGCGUGGGGAGCAAACAGGAUUAGAUACCCUAGUAGUC